rnacentral:rRNA from 1 species
GGCGAGUUACGAUCCCGUGCGAGGUUAAGCUGAAGAGGCGGAGCCGCAGCGAAAGCGAGUCUGAAUAGGGCGUUUAGUACGUGGUCGUAGACCCGAAACCAGGUGAUCUACCCAUGUCCAGGGUGAAGUUCAGGUAACACUGAAUGGAGGCCCGAACCCACGCACGUUGAAAAGUGCGGGGAUGAGGUGUGGGUAGCGGAGAAAUUCCAAUCGAACCUGGAGAUAGCUGGUUCUCCCCGAAAUAGCUUUAGGGCUAGCCUUAAGUGUAAGAGUCUUGGAGGUAGAGCACUGAUUGGACUAGGGGUCCUCAUCGGAUUACCGAAUUCAGUCAAACUCCGAAUGCCAAUGACUUAUCCUUAGGAGUCAGACUGCGAGUGAUAAGAUCCGUAGUCAAAAGGGAAACAGCCCAGACCGCCAGCUAAGGUCCCAAAGUGUGUAUUAAGUGGAAAAGGAUGUGGAGUUGCUUAGACAACUAGGAUGUUGGCUUAGAAGCAGCCACCAUUUAAAGAGUGCGUAAUAGCUCACUAGUCGAGUGACUCUGCGCCGAAAAUGUACCGGGGCUAAAUACACCACCGAAGCUGCGGAUUGAUACCAAUGGUAUCAGUGGUAGGGGAGCGUUCUAAGGACAGUGAAGUCAGACCGGAAGGACUGGUGGAGUGCUUAGAAGUGAGAAUGCCGGUAUGAGUAGCGAAAGACGGGUGAGAAUCCCGUCCACCGAAUGCCUAAGGUUUCCUGAGGAAGGCUCGUCCGCUCAGGGUUAGUCAGGACCUAAGCCGAGGCCGACAGGCGUAGGCGAUGGACAACAGGUUGAUAUUCCUGUACCACCUCUUUAUCGUUUGAGCAAUGGAGGGACGCAGAAGGAUAGAAGAAGCGUGCGAUUGGUUGUGCACGUCCAAGCAGUUAGGCUGAUAAGUAGGCAAAUCCGCUUAUCGUGAAGGCUGAGCUGUGAUGGGGAAGCUCCUUAUGGAGCGAAGUCUUUGAUUCCCCGCUGCCAAGAAAAGCUUCUAGCGAGAUAAAAGGUGCCUGUACCGCAAACCGACACAGGUAGGCGAGGAGAGAAUCCUAAGGUGUGCGAGAGAACUCUGGUUAAGGAACUCGGCAAAAUGACCCCGUAACUUCGGGAGAAGGGGUGCUUUCUUAACGGAAAGCCGCAGUGAAUAGGCCCAAGCGACUGUUUAGCAAAAACACAGCUCUCUGCGAAGCCGUAAGGCGAAGUAUAGGGGGUGACACCUGCCCGGUGCUGGAAGGUUAAGGAGAGGGGUUAGCGUAAGCGAAGCUCUGAACUGAAGCCCCAGUAAACGGCGGCCGUAACUAUAACGGUCCUAAGGUAGCGAAAUUCCUUGUCGGGUAAGUUCCGACCCGCACGAAAGGUGUAACGAUUUGGGCACUGUCUCAACCAGAGACUCGGUGAAAUUAUAGUACCUGUGAAGAUGCAGGUUACCCGCGACAGGACGGAAAGACCCCGUGGAGCUUUACUGUAGCCUGAUAUUGAAUUUUGGUACAGUUUGUACAGGAUAGGCGGGAGCCUUUGAAACCGGAGCGCUAGCUUCGGUGGAGGCGCUGGUGGGAUACCGCCCUGACUGUAUUGAAAUUCUAACCUACGGGUCUUAUCGACCCGGGAGACAGUGUCAGGUGGGCAGUUUGACUGGGGCGGUCGCCUCCUAAAGUGUAACGGAGGCGCCCAAAGGUUCCCUCAGAAUGGUUGGAAAUCAUUCGUAGAGUGCAAAGGCAUAAGGGAGCUUGACUGCGAGACCUACAAGUCGAGCAGGGACGAAAGUCGGGCUUAGUGAUCCGGUGGUUCCGCAUGGAAGGGCCAUCGCUCAACGGAUAAAAGCUACCCCGGGGAUAACAGGCUUAUCUCCCCCAAGAGUCCACAUCGACGGGGAGGUUUGGCACCUCGAUGUCGGCUCAUCGCAUCCUGGGGCUGUAGUCGGUCCCAAGGGUUGGGCUGUUCGCCCAUUAAAGCGGUACGCGAGCUGGGUUCAGAACGUCGUGAGACAGUUCGGUCCCUAUCCGUCGUGGGCGUAGGAAAUUUGAGAGGAGCUGUCCUUAGUACGAGAGGACCGGGAUGGACGCACCGCUGGUGUACCAGUUGUUCUGCCAAGGGCAUAGCUGGGUAGCUAUGUGCGGAAGGGAUAAGUGCUGAAAGCAUCUAAGCAUGAAGC